rfam:Devosia riboflavina strain IFO13584 contig33, whole genome shotgun sequence.
CCAGUUGACCGGGUGACCGCGGGCAGUGGGGUAACCUGCUGCCGGAGGAAAGUCCGGGCUCCUUCGAAACACGGUGACGGCUAACGGCCGCCGGGGGCGACCCCAGGGAAAGUGCCACAGAAAGCAAACCGCCUCGGCCUGGCUGGGGUAAGGGUGAAAGGGUGCGGUAAGAGCGCACCGGGCGUCUGGUAACAGAAGCCGCACGGUAAACCCCACCGGGAGCAAGACCAAAUAGGGAUGACGCGGGGUUUCGGCCCCAGCCUGUUUCGAGGCCAGAUCAUCCGGGUUGGUUGCACGAGCGUCCUGGCAACAGGCGCCUCAGAUGAAUGGUCACCACGUCGCGCCUCGGCGCGGCCCUACAGAACCCGGCUUAUAGGUCAACUGGCGUU